rnacentral:rRNA from 1 species
UACAGAGGUCCCAAGCGUUGUUCGGAUUUACUGGGCGUAAAGGGAGCGUAGGUGGCAUUCUAAGUCUGAUGUGAAAGCUCUGAGCUUAACUCAGAAAUGGCAUUAGAUACUAGUUUGCUUGAGGAUUGGAGGGGAGAUUGGAAUUCUUGGUGUAGCAGUGAAAUGCGUAGAUAUCAAGAGGAACACCAGUGGCGAAGGCGGGUCUCUGGACAGUUCCUGACACUGAGGCACGAAGGCCAGGGGAGCAAACGGG